AACGCACAUUGCGCCCCUUGGCAUUCCGAGGGGCAUGCCUGUUCGAGCGUCAUUGUCAAAAACCUCAGGCCUGUUUUAGCUUGGUGUUGGGUCUUCAUCCGCCUAGGUGGGAUGUGCCUGAAAACUAGUGGCGGUGUCACGAUGGUCUCAAGUGUAGUAGACUUCACUCUCGCUUUGGAUGGUCCAUUUUGGAGGCACUGCUAGACAAAUUAUUCAGAAACUGUUUGACCUCGGAUCAGGUAGGGAUACCCGCUGAACUUAA
rnacentral:misc_RNA from 1 species